rnacentral:rRNA from 1 species
UACGGGGGGAGCAAGCGUUGUUCGGAUUUACUGGGCGUAAAGGGCGCGUAGGCGGUCGUGGCAAGUCACUUGUGAAAUCUCCGGGCUUAACUCGGAACGGUCAAGUGAUACUGUCGGACUAGAGUACAGAAGGGGCAACUGGAAUUCUCGGUGUAGCGGUGAAAUGCGUAGAUAUCGAGAGGAACACCAGUGGCGAAGGCGGCUCACUGGUCCAUUACUGACGCUGAGGUGCGAAAGCGUGGGGAGCAAACAGG